AAGAAAUUUUUGCCUUACCCCUCAGAAAAAACGCAAAGAUCAAAGGAUGCCGAUGCACACAACCCCUCAGAAAUGGCUUUUUCAAACCCCCUCAGAAAUUCUCGUCCAUAGGGGGGUGUGUAUAUUAAAUGGAAUGGCCCUAGCCUUAACUGCAGUUAAAAAGUAAUUAAAGUUAACUAUGCUUUAGGGUAUAGUUAACUGUCCAAAACGUAGUUAAAAAUGGCGUUUGUAUAGGAGUGAACAACAUUUUUCAGUAAAACAACAAUGAAAAGCAACGGUUACCUGAGAUUUUCAAUCGCUAUUUUCCCUGUCAAUGUUUCCUGAUAAUAUAAACUCUUCAAACGCUAUCGCUUUGGUGUUUUUACGAAAACAGAACAUAUUUUUGCACAGGACGAUUUCUCGAAGACGAAGUAUGGUCCAUUACACCAAGAAACACUGAUAUAUAAUUGCCAAACAGCUAGA